CACGUAGGCGGCCUGUCAAGCGUCUUGUGAAAGCCCUCGGCUCAACCGAGGAACUGCAGGGCGAACUGUCAGGCUUGAGGCAGGUAGGAGCGAGUGGAACUCUUGGUGGAGCGGUGGAAUGCGUAGAUAUCAAGAGGAACGCCGGUGGCGAAAGCGACUCGCCGGGCCUGUCCUGACGUUGAGGUGCGAAAGCCAGGGGAGCGAACG
rnacentral:rRNA from 1 species